UUAAUUUACUGCUUUUGUUUGGCUUGGUUUUGUAUUCCUUCCCCUUGCUUUUGUUUUGUUUUUCUUUGUUCUGCUUUCCCUUUCUCUGCUUUUGUUCUGUUUGGCUUUUUGUUUUCUGUUUUCCUUUCCUCUGUUUUAUUUAUUUUUCCUUCCAUUAGCUUGUUUUGUUUUUUUGUUUUGCUUUCACUUUUUCUUCUUUCAUUUAGUUUUGCUUCUCUUUGCUUUUGUUUCAUUUUCCUUUCUGUGCCUCUGCUUUUGUUUUGUUUUGUUUGCUUUGUUUUUGUUUCGUUUUUCUUUCUGUGCCUCUGCUUUUGUUUUGUUUGCUUUGUUUUUGUUUCGUUUUUAUAUGAAAUCAUUGCUUUGCAAUUGAACGCAUCACAGUUAUCUCCCACAUAAAUGCAAACACCUCAUUUCUUUUCAAUUGUAUAACAUUAAUACGUUAUAUAUAUGUACUUUUUAUUUUACAUAUCGUAAUUCACAUCAGCACGGUUAGCUAGCAUGGAAAUGAAAUAAGGCAAGACUCACAUGACUGUGGCAUUACAAAUUAUUAAUACUGAUAGUUAAGGUUGUUGUUUUUUUUCUCUCUCUUUUUUGUUCUCUGCAGGCUUUGGUCUUGUGUUGACGGAGGCGGUAUUUCUUCAUACUGGCUUUGAGACCGCGCUAUAUUCGUAUUCACAUUUGUUGAUGAACAAAACUGCCAAAAUGUUCCAACCGAGCUGAAAAAUCUACACUAAUAAAUAGAAAAAAGUGUGUUGUGAGUUUUUGAGGGCGAAUCUUAGUAAAUACAUUUCCAGGUCACAAUGCAUCCCACAAAUCAAAAAAUAAGAAAAUAUUUUGAUUAAGGUUUUAUAGUUGCAUUAAUUUGGUCAUUGUUAAUAAUGAUUAAUUCCCAUUUCCAUAACAAUUAAGCAUUUUUACUCCCAAAAUAUAGUUUAUUAUGAAUUAUCUAUUAAAUGUUUAUGUCUGGACAAUUUAGCACAUUUACCUCAAAAAUUAUUUUUAAUAUGAAUUAUUUUCAUUAAAUUAAUUAUAAAAUUGUUACUAAUUAUUCAUUCUUAUUUUCAUGACAAUUUAGUAUUUUUACAACCAGAU
rnacentral:lncRNA from 1 species